GACGAACGCUGGCGGCGUGCUUAUCACAUGCAAUUCGAACGGAAAGGCCCUGCUUUUGUGGGGUGCUCGAGUGGCGAACGGGUGAGUAACACGUGAGUAACCUGCCCUUGACUUUGGGAUAACUUCAGGAAACUGGGGCUAAUACCGGAUAGGAGCUCCUGCUGCAUGGUGGGGGUUGGAAAGUUUCGGCGGUUGGGGAUGGACUCGCGGCUUAUCAGCUUGUUGGUGGGGUAGUGGCUUACCAAGGCUUUGACGGGUAGCCGGCCUGAGAGGGUGACCGGCCACAUUGGGACUGAGAUACGGCCCAGACUCCUACGGGAGGCAGCAGUGGGGAAUAUUGAACAAUGGGCGGAAGCCUGAUGCAGCAACGCCGCGUGCGGGAUGACGGCCUUCGGGUUGUAAACCGCUUUCGCCUGUGACGAAGCGUGAGUGACGGUAAUGGGUAAAGAAGCACCGGCUAACUACGUG
rnacentral:rRNA from 1 species